ensembl:lncRNA LINC02855 long intergenic non-protein coding RNA 2855
AGUGACAUUGGAAUCUAGGCAGUUGCACAACCCUUUUAAUGUCAGUCUUGGAAUGAAGACUUUAUGCAUCACUAGCUGUGUGCAUGUAUGGUGAGGUCGUGCCAGCAAAUCCGUGUGAAUGCCACUGGAUUAAAAGAAGGAAGUUUAGUUGAAUGGUUACUACCCUCAUUCACAGGAGCAGUUAUCGGCACUUCCACUGAGGCAAUGGCAGUGGGAAAAGGAAGGCAAAUAUUUAUUCACCCAUCCAUAAACUCAUAAAAGAGUGAGCUGAUGAACUGAACACAAGUUUUGGUGUAAUCAACAAGCUGCCUGGAAUAUGCAUGAACUGCCCUAAUUUUACAGAUGCCUUUACUUCUGAAAGCAUCUUCUGGGAGAGCUUAGCCUUUUCCCUAAGUUUGGAUUUGAAAGCAAGCAGAAUGGAAAUAAGUCCGUGUUGUUCACAUGUGCUUUAGUUUUUGUGCACUUAAAAGUUUUUAAAGAACUUUUUUAAAAAAAAA